UACGUAGGGUGCGAGCGUUAAUCGGAAUUACUGGGCGUAAAGCGUGCGCAGGCGGUUCGUUGUGUCGGCGGUGAAAGCCCCGGGCUCAACCUGGGAAUGGCCGUUGAAACUGGCGAACUGGAGUGUGGCAGAGGGGGGUGGAAUUCCGCGUGUAGCAGUGAAAUGCGUAGAGACCCGGAGGAACACCAGUGGCGAAGGCGGCUUCCUGGUCUGCGACUGACGCUGUGGCGCGAAAGCUAGGGGAGCAAACGGG
rnacentral:rRNA from 1 species